GCAGCGGGGUCUGAGGGGGCCGCUGGCGGCCCCCACCCACGAGGCUGCCCCGCGCCAGCUUCUGCAGCUCGACGGGCACCACGGCGCUGGGGCAGUGCUUCUCGAUGUAGUCCUGGAAACCCUGCACUCCCAUGGAAACGUUUGCCUUAACUGCCAGUAUGUGCUUACAAAUCUCACAGCUUGUACAGAAUAGCAGACCUGAGCUGAUGCCAGAAAAGUGCUGGUCUGGUAAGAGCUGCAAGAUGAUAAUGUCCCGCAGAGCAGUGGCAGGAGUGGGUACCAUCUCGAACCACUCCUGCUCUUUCCAUUUCUGACCAGUGUUGUCCUAGACCAGCCCUAAUUUACCUUUUUCUUUCGCACGAGAACUGAAACAUCAAACCCCACAGCCCUGCAUGGCUGAGUUAUGGAAGAGAAAACUGCUGCAAAAAACUGCAAGAGGAAGAAUGACAGAACUAUUUUAAAUGUAGCCCACUUCAACAUGUUUCACACAGAUGAAAAAUAUCUCAUAAUUAAAUAAAGGUAAAUUGUUAUGCCUCAUCUUAUAUUAAAGAUCAUAAAGCUUAUUUAAAAUCUUCUUAAUUUUUAUUCCACUUCCAAAUCACCUAUAACUUAUUACUGAACAUAUCGCUGUACAGUUAAGAGAACCCCUAAAUGCUAAUGGUUCACGUUUCUCCCAGAGCUCAGUACAGGCAAUUCCGCACUCAAAUUCUGUAGUAAAAUUGCAGAUUAUUAGAGCAAAUACCUACCUUGAUCCACAGGCUAGGAGCUUAUCUAAACUGGCAUCUGUUGCAUAUUCCAGCAAUUACAAACAUACUUGAAACUAGACAUUAUUGAACUCUGAAGUGACGCUUAUUUUUAUCUAGUAAGGGAAGCGGUAAAUGAUAGCAUGGACCUCAUUAAGAUCUAAGUUUCUUAGAAUAGCGUACCUAAGAAUUUAAUACAUAAGUAGCAAGAGAAUUUUUUAUUACCCAUAUGUAGCAAAGACCUAUAGAGUAGAAUCCCGUCUCCAAUGAGCUCAAUGGGAAUUUUACUAGUUACUGCAGGGGUGCCUGGAUUUUACCCAGGAUCUCCGAGAGUGUGCUUUUUGUAUGGGCAAAUGCUUCUGUAAUGUGAUUCUUUGGAGAAAUUUAAUUAAAGAGAAAUGUGUAAGGCACUUGGCAUUAAGUGAUCUAAGUUUGUUAACGUACAGUAUUUAGAAUGAAGCCCAAAUUAGAAGCAAAUAAUGCUAACUCAACUGUGAGCAUUUCAAUAAAAAUUACUUUAUGAAGAAGCUUGUGUACUCUCUGCUUUUUUAUUUUUAACAAAUAUUUUCUAUAUGCUUUCAUUUUUAUGAUCCAAACAAAUUUAGAGGCUUUAUCUGAAAUGUCACAGUCUGAAGCAAACACUAUUGACUUUAUCUUUGCUCUGAAUUACACCAGGGUCAACAAUUCUUUACUGUAACUUAAUACUGAAUAAGUAUUUUUGCUGACUGCUGAAAUUGAGUGGGCAGAGGAGUCCAGCAACAGUAGAACUCUUUUACUUGCACUUAUGUUUACAGUACCAGUUCAUAUACUUAGUGGGUUUUAUUUUUAGGAAACAGAAAUAUGUAAUAUCCAUGAGGCUAAGAUUAUCUUCGCUGGAGAUUCUUGUUGUUACAAAAAAUUUAUGUGAUUCCUCCAACAGAGACGGAACAGCUCCGGCUUUUCAAACACGCAAGCAGACUUUGUGAGACUGAUAGUUUGGAGGAAUACAUUUUGGACUACGCUGACUUAAAAACAUGUACAAUUAACAUAGCUUUCUGGUUAUGGCAUUCAAGUUACCAGAUCAGGAUGAUACAUGAAAAAAAUAUGCAGAUAAGGCAUGAUUUGCCCAAACAUGUCAUCAGAAACUGACUUCCUAAAGGGGCAUCACAGAAACAUUAUGUUUGCUGUUGGGAUAUCAGGAGAGAAAAGCGAUAUGAAUGUGUCGCACGCUGCAGUGUGCCCUGUCAGUGAAGAGUUUGCUGUGAGAAAACAAGCCAGCUGAGGAGGUGUAUCUUCCUUGCUAUAUACUAGUGAGUGAACUUUUAGUUUAGCUGUGUUUAACAUCAUUUAGUUAAGAUUUUGAUAAUGCCACUGGCUUGAAUCUGAGUUAUAUCAUAGAAAUAUUGGUGUGAAAGGACCCCUAGAUUAACUCCCACCUUCCACUCAAAGCAGGACUGUCACCAGCACUGGAUCAGGUCUGCUGGGAUUUUACCUCGCCAAAUCUUGGGUGUCCCCCUCUGAGUAACCUCUUCCAGUACUGCAGUAUCCUCCCAGUGAAGCAGUUCUUCCUAAUGCCCAGUCUGAACCUCCCAGGCUACAAUGUGUGGCCACUGCCCUUUACUAUACCAUCUGUCUCUACCGAAAAGUGCGUUGGCCCCCUCUUCUUUCCAACUCCAGUUCAAGCAGUUGCAGCCUGCUAUUAGAUCACCCCUUAGCCUCCUCUGCACCAGGCUGAAAAGCCACAGGCUCCUCCGUCACCUGAAGCAUGCGCUCUAUGUCCCUGACCAUCCCGGCAGCCCUCUCCUACCUUCCCUUCCCGUUUCUGAACCUCCUCUUGACCUGGGGGGCCCAAAGCCAGACACAGUAUUCCAGGCAUGACAUUAGUGGUGCUGAGACAAGAAUAAUGAGUUUCCUCAAUCUGCUGGCCACCCUUCUUCGAAAGCAGGCCAAUGUGCAGUUUGUCCCAUUUGCGGUGAGCAUACCGUUGGCUCAUAUUUGACCUGACGUCCACCGUAACCUCCAGGUCCUCUCCAGGAGGGCUGCUGCUCAGCCAGACAGUUCCCAGCCUUAUUCUGCCCAAGAUGUGGGACUUUGUACAUCUCGUUAAACUUGAUGGGAUUUCUGCUGGCUGGAUCCCAAGUUCCUGAAGAUCCCUCCACAAAAGUUAGUAUUUGGCAUGUCAACGACUCAACCCUAACUUAGUGUCAUCUUCAGGUUUGUCGUUUUUGCAUUCUAUACCAUCAUCCAGGUCGUCAGUGAAGAGGCUAAAUGGUAUCAGCCCUGGUGUUGACCUUGGAGUACUCUGCUUCCUUCCAGCCACCAAACAGAUGUUGAGCCAUUGAUGGCUAUCUUUCAGUCUGGAAUCUCUCUGAGUGAGCUUUCUGACUGUGACACACGAACUGAAGGAAGAGCUGGUUUUCUGUUCGGUACCUUAACUGCCAGCGCACUCACGGUUCAUAUCAGCCACCUCGGGUCCACUGAUGUUAGGAAGGUGGCCGCGGCUCCCUGCGGGAGCUCCCAUGGAGCGUGUGGCUCUCCUGUCCUCGCGGUUGGGCUGGAGUUGGCAUCCAGGACCGCCUUUUGUGUCUCCUUCCCCACGCCCUGGGAAGAGGCCAGCCACCUUCUGGGCAAGAGGCUCUGGGAUGCCGCACUGGGAUGCUGGCAGAGUUAUCUUCUGCUCAGGAUAGAGGAGAGAAAGCUACCAGGACUGAUACAUUUCCCUGUCCACUAAAGGGAACAAUGAAAAAAAGGUUUAUUUCUGCAAGAAUGUUCUAGACAACUUUUUCAACAAAGGAUGUGCUGCAGAAGAUGUUGUUCAGGAGCUAUUUUAUCAGCCCAUUAGGAUACAGGGUGAGGAUAUCUGCAUCCAGUUGUGCUGUGCUGAAACCACUUUUAAUUCCUGCCCUUUGUACCUUUCCUCCCAUGCCUGAAAUGUCUUUGGAUGGUAAUGGCAGUCCACCGCCGGGGAACGUUCUGCCCACCAUUCUGUGCUUUAGGAGCCCUUUCUGCAUCACCCGCCUGCACUUGGGACUGGAGCUCGGGGCACACAGUAGCUCAUCGCCUGCAAAGUACUUGUGAGAGGACAGCGAACAGCUAAUAUGUUGGUGGACCAACUUCAGCAAUUUCACUACAAAAGAGCUUUAAUUCUGACUAUAAUCUGAAUAUAGACAGAUUUCUCAGCCUGCUUCAGUCUACUAACUGCAGAUACAUGUGUAGGUUGUUUGAUCCAGGUUAAAAAAACACCACUGGCCUUUGCCUUUACCCUCCCCAUAUGCAAUUUUGGAAAGUUUGCCUAGAAAGGGUAACAAAAUGUUCAGCUGCUGCAGGUCCUCCCAAGCCUACCAGCUUUUUUGCUUUUGUUUAAUUUGCUAUGUGAUUAACUCCACUGCAUUUCUGCCUGGCAGAAUCUGUGACUAAAAAUGCCCUAUGAGUAUACGUAGUAUGCUGCAACACUGGUGGAAAGUAAAUAAGACCAUAGUCUUCAUAAUCACUGUUUUUCCAAAGAACUACUGCUCCCAGCAGACAGGCUAUUUUAGGCUGUAAAUGGAAAUCAGAAAAUGAGAUUUUCUUUCCCUGCUAGUUCUUCUCCUGGGAAUUUUACUGCUUUCCUCUGUGUACCUACUUUGGGUGUUAGUGGCAGCAUAUUGAUAAUACCAGUCUCUUGGAGGACUGAUCACUGGAGCCUAUUCUGAAAUACACCAGUGAACAUUGGAAAUAAUUUCCACUAGUACCAACAUAUUAUUUGUUGAUACAAAAUUGAGCAUUAGAUCAAAACCAGAUCUGGAUAGCCUGAUUUACUCCAUGAUUGAGGUGACAGUUCACUCAGAAUUCAGGCUUGCAAAAUAAGUAAAGAUAUUUCCUAGCUACCUGCACUUUCUGUUCUAAUAUUGGUAAUAUAUUUGCAUCUCUCAAUUUUGCAGACUGUCUUUUACCUCCUGUUUGAUGAUCUAAGUCCAGUCACGAAUGUAGACACUCUUGAUUUGUAGUCCUGUCAAUACCAGUGAUGUCUGGCCUUGCCUCCAGUUUAUAGCACAGACACUAUCAUCUAAAUCAUAUGUAUCAUACGGAUCUAAUGCAAGAUCUUUGCACGGUCUUUAAAUCUGAGAAGUUCUAAUUAUCAUUCUUAAUACUUCAUGUAUUAUGCAUUUUUGUCUGGAAAAAGCUUUGUGUUACUAGGAAUUCAAAAGAUUAGGUUUUGCUACAGCAACAUGCAAAUCUGAGAACUUGAGAACAAAUCAUAAUCUUUAGCAUUAGCUGCCCCAAAUGGCAUUGAGAAGGAUUUUCUGUGCUAGGAAAUACCCUAAUUAUUUCGUGGCAUGAUUACUGCUCUGAUAUUAUGCCUGUAUCCCCACCAUUUGAUUAAAUACUACUCACAAGCAUCCUUUGA